UGAGGAGCAGGAGCUAGAACUUUCUGAAACGACCUUGCCUGGGCCCAGCCCAGAGGUCCUGACUUCUUUGGCCUGAGUGGCUCCUGGCUUAGACAGGAUUCCUAGCCCAGGGGCCUUGCCCAUCUGUGCUGUGUUGUGCCAAAGUAACUUCUGACCUAAUUGGGACCUCACUGCAGAUUCGGUGUUGUGUUCUUGUGUGUGUGUGUUUAAAUUUACUACAUUGUAAAGGCUUCCUUGAGCCCCUAAACCCUUUUAAAAUAUCACUUCUGGCUGGGCGUGGUAGCUCACACCUGUAAUCCCAGCACUUUGAGGGGCCGAGGCGGAUGGAUCACGAGGUCAGGAGUUCGAGACUAGCCUGGCCAACAUGUCUCACUGCUCACUGCCGUCUGCCCCGUGGGAUGCGACUUCCUGAGCCCUGGGUUGGGCCCUUUUCCUGCUGUGCUCAGAGGCCUUGAACAAAGCCAGGUGUGGUGGCGCAUGCCUGUAGUUCCAGACUCAACAGGCUGAUGCAGAAAGAUCAUUUGAGACAAGGAGGUUAAGGCUGCAGUGAGCUGUGAUUGCACCACUGUACUCCAGGCUGGAUGACAGAGAAAUGCUUCAUUUUGAAAAAAAAAAAGAAAAAAGUAAGUCUUCUAAUCCAUGAGGAUGAAAUGUCUUUCCAUUAAUUUUGAUCUUCUUUAUUUUUUAAGCAAUGUUCUGUAAUUUUCAAUGUGUAAAUCUUUCACUUAUUUUGUUUAUUCCUAUUUUAUCACUUGUAAUGCUGUUGUUAAUGGAAUUUUCUUAACUUUUAGAUUGUUCAUUGCUACUGUUUAGAAAUACAAUUAUUUUUCUGUGCAGGUAUUGUAUACUAAAACCAUGCUGAACUCAUUUAUUAACUCUGAUAAGGUAUUUUUAUGAAUUCCUUAGGUUUUUCUACAUAUAAGUGCAUAUUAUCUGUGAAUAGAGAUACUUUAACUUCUUUCAUUACAAUCUCAUGUCAUUUAUUUUCUUGCCUAACUGUCCUGGGUCAAAACUAUAGUACAGUGUUAAAUAGAUGAUGUGAAAAUAGACAUUCUUGUUUUCUUGUUGAUCUCGGGGUAAAUCAUUGUCUUUAACCAUUAAGUAUGAUGUUAACUGUGAGUUUUCGCAGAUGUUCUCUACGUAGGAUGAGGAAGUCUCUUUCUGUUCCUAGUUUGUUGAGUGUUUUUCAUCAUAAAGGGUGUUAUAUUUUGUCAAAUACUCUUUUUGUAUCUAUUGACAUGAUCAUACGGCUUUUGUCCAUUUAAUAUUGUUUAUUACAUUGACUGAUUUUGGAAUGUUAAAACAACCUUGAAUUCCUGUGAUAAAUCUCCCUGGUCAUGGUGUGUGGUCCUUUUUAUAUGUUGCUAGAUUUGGUUUGCUAGUAUUUUCUUGAGAAUUUUUGUGUCUCUAUUCAUAACAGGUAUUGUACUGUAGUUUUCUUUUUCUGUGAUGUCCUCUUCUGAUUUUGAUAUCAGGUGAAAACUGACCCCAUAGGAUAAAUUGGGAAGCAUUCCCUCUUAUUAUUUGGAAAAAUUUGUAAAUGUUUGAUUUUGAUUCUGUGAACACUUUGUAGAAUUCACCAGUGAAACCACCUGAGUCUGGACUUUUCUUUGUGAGAAUUUAAAAAUUACUAAUUCAAUCUCUUGUUAUACAUUUAUUCAGAUUUUCUACUUUUUGAGUCAGUUUUGGUAGUUUGUGUCUUUUUCUAGGAAUGAGCCUAUUUCAUCUAGGUUAUCCAAUUUGUUAGCAUACAGUUACUCGUAAUAUUCCUCUAUGAUCCCUUUUUUACAAUAAAAUUUUAUUUUAGGAAAGUUUUAGGAGGCUGAGACAGG
ensembl:lncRNA